CACUUCGAUGCGCACGCUUCGCCUGUCGUAGUGCUGGCUCAGGCUCUUCUCCAGGGCAAAGGCGUCCCCGCACUCCAAGCACUUGUACCCACGCAUCGGUAACGUGAUCCCUGCGUUGGCAGGAGGACUGAGGUUGGGGGUGUAAACCGGGACUGGGUUGACGCUGCUCAGCACCUUGUUGAAAGCUUCCACCACAGAACUCUGCAAGGACGACACCACCUGGACCCGAGACACCUUCUUAGGUGGCUGCGAGGCCGCUGCAUUGAUUAUUGCCUGCUUUAUUUGCUGCUGAGGUUUGGUGAGCACUUGGCGGAGUUCAGAGGUGGCCUGGGCACCCUGAGGCAGAAGGUUAAGGUUGGCAAGGUGCACAGUCUUUGGCACGAGUUUGGCAUUGGCCAGGCUGGAUGCCGGCACCACAACGGUUUGCUGCUGGAUGGCAUUGGCAGCUUUGAUGAUGGCGCUACUGGCACUCUGAACAGAGGCGGCGGAUAUGACCGUGGCUUUCACCGUUGUGUUGUUGGCGAGCUUCAGAUUGAUGACUUGAGACCCUGCCGUCUUGACGGCAGACACGGGAAGAAAAGCUGUCGCCACGGGCUUGAUGGUGACCUGUUUGGGGGUCAGCUCUGCAGAGGAAACUGCACUUGUAACCAUGGCCGUCUGCAGAGGUGCCCUGGGCGGGGAGGAGAGGACCGUGGCUGAUGCUGAAGAUGACAGGAGUGAUGUCACAGACGCCAUCACGGACGCUGCCUGCUCAGAAGGCUUCUUUCCAGAGUCCAGGUCCACUUCUGGCAGCACUCUGGUCACAGUCCUCUUGAUCUCCCCAGACGAUGUCUUGAUGGUCUUGAUGCGGACUUUGGGGAUGGCUGGGGUAGAGCCCACGGGUGAGGAUGGUGACCCUUUGCUGCUGUUCUCACUGGAUACGCUCCUGGGACUGUCUGAUGGCUUCAGGGAGGCCUUCUUGGUGCCAUCGAUGAGAUUCUGGGACUCGGGAGACUUGUCGGCAGCUUUGGGACUGUCAUUCACUUCUUUUGGUAACGGGGAGGCUUCCCUGGAGUUGGCCACAGGCUCUUUGCAGGAGUCGGACGCAGCCUUUUUAGCGCUGAGCGCCGCAAUGGCCGCUAUGCACGAGGAGAGCUUGGAGGACGGCUUCGUUUUGGAAGAUGCGGCAGCAGCGAUGCCGGAGUCGCUCUUCUCGGAGCUCGGCUUCCCGUCAAGGACCCUGCUCUCAAGCAUCUUCUCAGAGUUCUCCUUCAACUUAUCCUCUGCUUUUCUGACCUUAAAUGGCUCAUAAACACUCAGGGUUAUAGAAUUGCUUUCUGCCUCCCUCUUGACCUUGUUUUUAUCCGUGUGGCCUGAUGUAGAGACUCCAGUCUUGCUGGAGUUUUCCCCUCCAAGUGCCUUCAGUUUGUCGAAGUCCUGCUGGGGUGCUGAGCCCGUCAGCACAUUCGAUCUGAAACCGGCCCGCGCCUCCUCCUUAUCAGGCGGGUCGUCCACCUCUAUCUUCUCAUCGUCCUCAAACUCCUCGGCGCUGGAGAUGGGGCUGAACUGGCUGAAUGCCGGGUCCUUAAGAGUCACCUCCGAGGCAGGUGUGUCUCCUUUUAAGGACUUGGCUCCAUCCUUACCAUAGCUGUCAAGAGAGGAUGCCGUGAGGAACCCAUUAUGCAAACCAUUGCCUGUGGGAUUGUGGCCAUCUUUUUCCACCCCCUCGGAGGAGUCGAUGUUGCGGACAUUCUUCACAAUCACACUGACGCCGACGUCUGAGGAUGAUGGGGUGUGAGAGUCGUCAUCCACGUGAGCAUUCUGCUUAAUGUGGCUCUCAUGGUCAUCGUGUCCGGACUCAAUCGCUGCUUUGGGAUCGACCAUAUCUGGUAUGUCAAAUGCUGCCAAGAGGUCAUCAAAGUCUGGGGUCUUCAUAUCCCCCAUGGUCAUGAAUUUGAUCAGUUCUGUUAGAGGAAGGGGAAAAAAAAUCCAGCAAUUAGCACUGAUAAUGAAGUCAGCCCUUCUGUGGUGUUCACACUAAACACUUAGCACCAAUAAUGAUGUCAGCCCUACUGUAGCAGUCACACUAGCUGAGUAACAGUAUUAACCACAUCAGCCACCACUGAGGCAUCGACAAAGCUACUCACCCUAGACUCACUGCUAGACUCACCGCUAGACUCACCCUAGACUCACCGCUAGACUCACCGCUAGACUCACCGCUAGACUCACCACAGUGUUUUCAUAAAAGCUACUUCUCCAAAUAUAUCCAUCUUGACAACACAUAACUCCAGUAGCACAAGCUGAUCAUUUCAGUUACCAUCAGAUUUGGGACGAUUACAAUAAAAACAACUACAGAUUUCAAAAUCCAUCCACAAAAGAAUGAAUUGGCCAUACACACCUACCACAAGGUAUCCACUAAAGUCAUCUGGGAUCUUUUUCCUUUUAAUCCCUAAGGAAGCAAUCCCGUCUAUUUUUAAUUCUAGGCCUCCCUGUUGUGUUGAAAAAGAAACAGACAAGUGUGGUAGCUCACACCUUUAAUCUCAGCACUAAGGAGGCAGAAGCAGGAGGAUCUCUGAGUUUGGGGCUAGCCUGGUCUGCAGUGAGAGUUCCAGGAUGGCCAGGGCUACACGAAGAAACCCUGUCUGGAAGGAAAGAAGGAAAGGAAAGGAAAGGAAAGGAAAGGAAAGGAAAGGAAAGGAAAGGAAAGGAAAGGAAGGUUGGUUUGGCCGGUGACUGACUCUGGGGUAGGAUGGAGUUGUAGGAAAAUAAAGUAAGUAAAGUCAUUAUCAGAAAUGAAAGCUAUGCAGGUCCACUCAGUGCUGGAGCCUUUCUUUAGGACACCCCUAUUUCCUGGUACAGUCACUGUGUGCAAUAGCACCCCCCAUCCUGAGGCAGGCAAUGUGCCGUCCUCUUCACAUCACAAAUGCUAAAGAAUGAACAAGUCCCACAGCAGGCGUCACAGAUAAGAUCUGUAUCAGAGCAUGUCUGGGCUCAGCUCCGCCACUCACCAGCUCUAGACCCCCAGAAGUAAGGAAGUAACAGAUUUUAGUUUGGACUUGGUGCAUCCUUCAGUAGUGAAGGCAAGCAGCCAAGAAGAGAAGGAAAAUAGAGGGGAGAGGGCGGAAGCAGGCAGAGAGGAGGUGAAGGGGCAGGGCGCUGAGGCCGACUGGGAACCUUGCCGAGGUCAGCCACCCAGAGGACUCACAGGUAGACAGCCCUGGACUAUCCACUCCUCAGGACUCCCUGUGCUGUUUGUCUUUGACUUCCACAUUUUGUUCAAUUAUUUAAUAUUUUUCUACAACCUGUAAAAAGCCAUGCAUUCCUGAUUAGAACAACAACCUUUAGAUCAAGGUAAAAUGCAACCAGAUGAGAGCAGACAGCCAGGACACUAUACAGGCCCCACGUGCAGCAUAGCAGAAAAGACUCGCUAUAUUACCACUCUGCGGACAGACGUAAUCCGCUAAGACUGUGGGGAAAUCUGCUGUUGAGGUUGAGACAAAUACCAGUUCAACAGGUGCAGAAACACACACCAUCCGAGUCACACGCACAGCUGGGACAGUGGUGGGGUCUUUUCUCCUGGGUCUCCUGACCUUGAGGCAAACUAUGGUCACUAUAUUUUCUACUGCUGGACCAGACAAGGAACGGCAUAGUGUCAAGUCUCUUCCAACCUGAAAGGCUGCACCCAAGAAAUGAGACACGAUCCCAAAAUGAGGCUGGAUUAAAGGGUCUCUAAGAGAUCGUCCGCGGGGUGAAGUCUGUGUUUGUGACUUUCUUUCUAAAACUGGUAUUGAGCAUUCAAACUAUAAAAGGGAGGGACUGAGAAAUAAUCUACCGGCUAUUGCAGUUACAUAAAAGAAUCCACGCACUUCACAACACCACCAGAAUGUCACCACCUCUAUCUACCCCCAAGCAUCGCAUCGCAUCGCAUCACGUCGCAUCGCAUAGCUGCUGUGAACCAAAUGCCCAUUAUAAAGCUGUACUGCUGCUGAAGGAGCUGCCGUUAGCGCUGCGAACUAGGCAGUUCCGUGGUAGCAUGCUCUGCUUGCUUCCAGAAUCAUAAGCCAGCUCUUUCACCCAACACCAUACUUGAAGGGCGGGUCUUUGAAAGAUCCAAAAGCUAAGACCUAGGUUUACUCAGCCCCAGUAUUAGCUGGACCCUAAGAACUCUAGGCUUUCCUCACAGGGACACGAGAUUUGUGUCUCACCCUUUCUUAAUGAUGACGUAAUCAAAAGACUUCACAGUUACAUACUAUCUAUCAGGGGGCAAUCAAUUCAGAAACAACAACAGCAGGAAAUAAUUCAAAUACUCACUGGGUGAAAGGCCAAGGACAGAAAAAGUGCAAGAAACCAAACCUGUGUGACUGGCUCAGAAGAGCUGCUGGCAGGUGUUCUUAGCUGUGACACUCCCUGCCUCACACACUCCACAGGACUAGACCAUCUUGUCAUCCACAGCUUGUCGCCCCCCACGUCCCCAAGCUCUCCUUCAUGCCAGACUCAAGCAAGGUUAAAUUCAGACAGCUUAGAAAGAACUGUGUAGUCAGCCUGCAACACACUUCCCUGAGGGGCAGAGAAGUCCGGUGGCACUGGAACCUAGCCACGCCCAGCUCCCUGCACCCUGCUCUAGCUACAUAUAGUUCACCCUCUCUUCUUGGGAAUAGCAUGGGAACCCAAGAAGACCAGUGGCGCACUUUUCAGAUUUAAAGGUGAGUUAGCAGUGGUUCACCUUCAGAAAGACUGACGCUAAGCUAAAAAACGCAAAGCAAAGCGGUACAACUGACAGCGCUUCACCCCCUGAAACCCGAGAGCCCUGCGGCUGGCAGACUCACUGCUCUGGGUUGUAUAAUUAAUGUAAUAAAUACCACUCUGUAACUUCACACCUCUUUUCUGGUUGAUAGAAAUGUUUUUCAUACCCACAAUCACUCAUCCUGUUACCCUGACCUUUCCUACACUGGAAGACAAAAGCAAAUGGCCCGCUCUGAGGGGAAAUUACUUGUUCCUCUGAUUACAAAGAGGGAGUUUAUUGCAGAUUCCUUCAUUUUCCACCCCAAUUCCUAAGCAUUACCAUCUUAGAAAUAUUCUUUUGCUGAAGAUUAUUUUCUUGGGCUGGAAAGAUAGCUCAGCAGGUAAGAGCACUGACUGCUCUUCCAAAGGUCCUGAGUUCAAAUCCCAGCAACCACAUGGUGGCUCACAACCAUCUGUAAUGAGAUCUGACACCCUCUUCUGGUGCAUCUGAAGUCAGCUACAGUGUAAUUAUGUGUAUUAAUAAAUAAAUCUUUUAAAAAAGAUUA
rnacentral:lncRNA from 1 species